rnacentral:rRNA from 1 species
GAUGAACGCUGGCGGCGUGCCUAAUACAUGCAAGUCGAGCGGACCAAAGAGAGCUUGCUCUCUGAGGUUAGCGGCGGACGGGUGAGUAACACGUGGGUAACCUGCCUGUAAGACGGGGAUAACUUCGGGAAACCGAAGCUAAUACCGGAUGAUAAAGAGAAACGCCUGUUUCUUUUUUGAAAGUCGGCCUUGUGCUGACGCUUACAGAUGGGCCCGCGGCGCCUUAGCUAGUUGGUGAGGUAACGGCUCACCAAGGCGACGAUGGGUAGCCGACCUGAGAGGGUGAUCGGCCACACUGGGACUGAGACACGGCCCAGACUCCUACGGGAGGCAGCAGUAGGGAAUCUUCGGCAAUGGACGAAAGUCUGACCGAGCAACGCCGCGUGAGCGAUGAAGGCCUUCGGGUCGUAAAGCUCUGUUGUCAGAGAAGAACAAGUACCGGAGUAACUGCCGGUACCUUGACGGUACCUGACCAGAAAGCCACGGCUAACUACGUGCCAGCCGCCGCGGUAACAC